rnacentral:rRNA from 1 species
CGAUUAAGCCAUGCAAGUCGAACGAGUUUAGACUCGUGGCGUACGGCUCAGUAACACGUGGAUAACCUACCCUUAGGACCGGGAUAACCUUGGGAAACUGAGGAUAAUACUGGAUAGGCAAUUAUUCCUGUAAUGGUUUUUUGUUUAAAUGUUUUUUCGCCUAAGGAUGGGUCUGCGGCCGAUUAGGUAGUUGGUUAGGUAAUGGCUUACCAAGCCGUUGAUCGGUACGGGUUGUGAGAGCAAGAGCCCGGAGAUGGAACCUGAGACAAGGUUCCAGGCCCUACGGGGUGCAGCAGGCGCGAAACCUCCGCAAUGUGAGAAAUCGCGACGGGGGGAUCCCAAGUGCCAUUCUUAACGGGAUGGCUUUUCAUUAGUGUAAAGAGCUUUUGGAAUAAGAGCUGGGCAAGACCGGUGCCAGCCGCCGCGGUAACACCGGCAGCUCUAGUGGUAACAAUUUCUAUUGGGCCUAAAGCGUCCGUAGCCGGUUUAAUAAGUCUCUGGUGAAAUCCUGUAGCUUAACUGUGGGAAUUGCUGGAGAUACUAUUAGACUUGAGACCGGGAGAGGUUAGAGGUACUCCCAGGGUAGAGGUGAAAUUCUGUAAUCCUGGGAGGACCGCCUGUUGCGAAGGCGUCUAACUGGAACGGUUCUGACGGUGAGGGACGAAAGUUAGGGGCGCGAACCGGAUUAGAUACCCGGGUAGUCCUAACUGUAAACGAUGCGGACUUGGUGUUGGGGUGGCUUUGAGCUGCUUCAGUGCCGAAGGGAAGCUGUUAAGUCCGCCGCCUGGGAAGUACGGUCGCAAGACUGAAACUUAAAGGAAUUGGCGGGGGAGCA